rnacentral:rRNA from 1 species
UACGUAGGUGGCAAGCGUUGUCCGGAUUUACUGGGCGUAAAGAGCGCGCAGGCGGUCGUUCAAGUCGCGUGUGAAAGCCCCCGGCUCAACUGGGGAGGGUCACGCGAUACUGAUCGACUGGAAGGCAGGAGAGGGUAGUGGAAUUCCCGGUGUAGUGGUGAAAUGCGUAGAUAUCGAGAGGAACACCUGCGGCGAAGGCGGGUUGCUGGGCUGAUACUGACGCUGAGGCGCGAAAGCCAGGGGAGCGAACGGG